rnacentral:rRNA from 1 species
CCUACGGGAGGCUGCAGUGGGGAAUAUUGGACAAUGGGGGGAACCCUGAUCCAGCCAUGCCGCGUGUGUGAAGAAGGCCUUUUGGUUGUAAAGCACUUUAAGCGAGGAGGAGGCUACUCUAGUUAAUACCUAGGGAUAGUGGACGUUACUCGCAGAAUAAGCACCGGCUAACUCUGUGCCAGCAGCCGCGGUAAUACAGAGGGUGCGAGCGUUAAUCGGAUUUACUGGGCGUAAAGCGUGCGUAGGCGGCUUUUUAAGUCGGAUGUGAAAUCCCUGAGCUUAACUUAGGAAUUGCAUUCGAUACUGGGAAGCUAGAGUAUGGGAGAGGAUGGUAGAAUUCCAGGUGUAGCGGUGAAAUGCGUAGAGAUCUGGAGGAAUACCGAUGGCGAAGGCAGCCAUCUGGCCUAAUACUGACGCUGAGGUACGAAAGCAUGGGGAGCAAACAGGAUUAGAUACCCCUGUAGUC